rnacentral:rRNA from 1 species
GGGUUGUGAGGUUAAGCGACUAAGCGUACACGGUGGAUGCCCUGGCAGUCAGAGGCGAUGAAGGACGUGCUAAUCUGCGAUAAGCGCCGGUAAGGUGAUAUGAACCGUUAUAACCGGCGAUUUCCGAAUGGGGAAACCCAGUGUGAUUCGUCACACUAUCAUUAACUGAAUCCAUAGGUUAAUGAGGCGAACCGGGGGAACUGAAACAUCUAAGUACCCCGAGGAAAAGAAAUCAACCGAGAUUCCCCCAGUAGCGGCGAGCGAACGGGGAGGAGCCCAGAGCCUGAAUCAGCAUGUGUGUUAGUGGAAGCGUCUGGAAAGGUGCGCGAUACAGGGUGACAGCCCCGUACACAAAAGCGCAUGUGCUGUGAGCUCGAUGAGUAGGGCGGGACACGUGGUAUCCUGUCUGAAUAUGGGGGGACCAUCCUCCAAGGCUAAAUACUCCUGACUGACCGAUAGUGAACCAGUACCGUGAGGGAAAGGCGAAAAGAACCCCGGCGAGGGGAGUGAAAAAGAACCUGAAACCGUGUACGUACAAGCAGUGGGAGCACAGGUUUACCUGUGUGACUGCGUACCUUUUGUAUAAUGGGUCAGCGACUUAUAUUCUGUAGCAAGGUUAACCGUAUAGGGGAGCCGUAGGGAAACCGAGUCUUAACCGGGCGUUAAGUUGCAGGGUAUAGACCCGAAACCCGGUGAUCUAGCCAUGGGCAGGUUGAAGGUUGGGUAACACUAACUGGAGGACCGAACCGACUAAUGUUGAAAAAUUAGCGGAUGACCUGUGGCUGGGGGUGAAAGGCCAAUCAAACCGGGAGAUAGCUGGUUCUCCCCGAAAGCUAUUUAGGUAGCGCCUCGUGAAUUCAUCUCCGGGGGUAGAGCACUGUUUCGGCUAGGGGGCCAUCCCGGCUUACCAACCCGAUGCAAACUGCGAAUACCGGAGAAUGUUAUCACGGGAGACACACGGCGGGUGCUAACGUCCGUCGUGAAGAGGGAAACAACCCAGACCGCCAGCUAAGGUCCCAAAGUCAUGGUUAAGUGGGAAACGAUGUGGGAAGGCCCAGACAGCCAGGAUGUUGGCUUAGAAGCAGCCAUCAUUUAAAGAAAGCGUAAUAGCUCACUGGUCGAGUCGGCCUGCGCGGAAGAUGUAACGGGGCUAAACCAUGCACCGAAGCUGCGGCAGCGAACGUAUCACCCAAGACAACUUUACGGAGUUGACGAUUGACGGAGCGAAGCGACGUCAAAGCGUUCAUUAAAGUCGAGUUGGCUUAGGGAUACGUUCGUUGGGUAGGGGAGCGUUCUGUAAGCCUGUGAAGGUGUGUCGUGAGGCAUGCUGGAGGUAUCAGAAGUGCGAAUGCUGACAUAAGUAACGAUAAAGCGGGUGAAAAGCCCGCUCGCCGGAAGACCAAGGGUUCCUGUCCAACGUUAAUCGGGGCAGGGUGAGUCGACCCCUAAGGCGAGGCCGAAAGGCGUAGUCGAUGGGAAACGGGUUAAUAUUCCCGUACUUGGUGUUACUGCGAAGGGGGGACGGAGAAGGCUAUGUUGGCCGGGCGACGGUUGUCCCGGUUUAAGCGUGUAGGUGUGUGUUCCAGGUAAAUCCGGUUCACUUUAACACUGAGGCGUGACGACGAGGCACUACGGUGCUGAAGCAACAAAUGCCCUGCUUCCAGGAAAAGCCUCUAAGCAUCAGGUAACAUCAAAUCGUACCCCAAACCGACACAGGUGGUCAGGUAGAGAAUACCAAGGCGCUUGAGAGAACUCGGGUGAAGGAACUAGGCAAAAUGGUGCCGUAACUUCGGGAGAAGGCACGCUGACACGUAGGUGAAGUGAUUUACUCAUGGAGCUGAAGUCAGUCGAAGAUACCAGCUGGCUGCAACUGUUUAUUAAAAACACAGCACUGUGCAAACACGAAAGUGGACGUAUACGGUGUGACGCCUGCCCGGUGCCGGAAGGUUAAUUGAUGGGGUCAGCGUAAGCGAAGCUCCUGAUCGAAGCCCCGGUAAACGGCGGCCGUAACUAUAACGGUCCUAAGGUAGCGAAAUUCCUUGUCGGGUAAGUUCCGACCUGCACGAAUGGCGUAAUGAUGGCCAGGCUGUCUCCACCCGAGACUCAGUGAAAUUGAACUCGCUGUGAAGAUGCAGUGUACCCGCGGCAAGACGGAAAGACCCCGUGAACCUUUACUAUAGCUUGACACUGAACAUUGAGCCUUGAUGUGUAGGAUAGGUGGGAGGCUUUGAAGUGUGGACGCCAGUCUGCAUGGAGCCGACCUUGAAAUACCACCCUUUAAUGUUUGAUGUUCUAACGUGGACCCGUAAUCCGGGUUGCGGACAGUGUCUGGUGGGUAGUUUGACUGGGGCGGUCUCCUCCUAAAGAGUAACGGAGGAGCACGAAGGUUGGCUAAUCCUGGUCGGACAUCAGGAGGUUAGUGCAAUGGCAUAAGCCAGCUUGACUGCGAGCGUGACGGCGCGAGCAGGUGCGAAAGCAGGUCAUAGUGAUCCGGUGGUUCUGAAUGGAAGGGCCAUCGCUCAACGGAUAAAAGGUACUCCGGGGAUAACAGGCUGAUACCGCCCAAGAGUUCAUAUCGACGGCGGUGUUUGGCACCUCGAUGUCGGCUCAUCACAUCCUGGGGCUGAAGUAGGUCCCAAGGGUAUGGCUGUUCGCCAUUUAAAGUGGUACGCGAGCUGGGUUUAGAACGUCGUGAGACAGUUCGGUCCCUAUCUGCCGUGGGCGCUGGAGAACUGAGGGGGGCUGCUCCUAGUACGAGAGGACCGGAGUGGACGCAUCACUGGUGUUCGGGUUGUCAUGCCAAUGGCACUGCCCGGUAGCUAAAUGCGGAAGAGAUAAGUGCUGAAAGCAUCUAAGCACGAAACUUGCCCCGAGAUGAGUUCUCCCUGUGACUUUACGAGC